AUUGAACGCUGGCGGCAUGCUUUACACAUGCAAGUCGAACGGUAACAGGCCGCAAGGUGCUGACGAGUGGCGAACGGGUGAGUAAUGCAUCGGAACGUGCCCAGUCGUGGGGGAUAACUACCCGAAAGAGUAGCUAAUACCGCAUACGAUCUAUGGAUGAAAGCGGGGGACCGUAAGGCCUCGCGCGAUUGGAGCGGCCGAUGUCAGAUUAGGUAGUUGGUGGGGUAAAGGCUCACCAAGCCAACGAUCUGUAGUUGGUCUGAGAGGACGACCAGCCACACUGGGACUGAGACACGGCCCAGACUCCUACGGGAGGCAGCAGUGGGGAAUUUUGGACAAUGGGCGCAAGCCUGAUCCAGCAAUGCCGCGUGCAGGAAGAAGGCCUUCGGGUUGUAAACUGCUUUUGUACGGAACGAAACGGCUCUGGUUAAUACCCGGGGCUAAUGACGGUACCGUAAGAAUAAGCACCGGCUAACUACGUG
rnacentral:rRNA from 1 species